GUCGAACCGUGCACUGGCUCUCUCCAGUCGCCUGCUUGGCCCUCUUCCAAGUGUACUUUACUUCCUUUUGUUCCUGCUCUAAAGUUUUAAAUAAUAUUUCGCUCCUGCUCUAAAACUUGCCUUGGCCUCUCACUCUGCAUUAUAUCCUUCAGUUGAAUUCUUUCUUCUGAGGAGUCAAGAAUUGAGGUUGCCGCAGACACCUGUGGAUUUGCUGCCAGUAACAAAAUGUACUCACUCUAAAUUGUCUGGAAUCAGGAUCAACUGAUGUCAAGCAUGGAGCUCAAGCAGCCAUGAUCACGAGAUCGUGAGGCAGUAAUUCCAGUAAUGUGAUGAAGUAGCAAGAGAUAAGUAUCUGUUACUUUCCCUAUUUUGCAAUACUUAAUGGAUACAUACAAUCUGUCAACUCUUCUCUCUGGACCUGCGCAUACACUGCUCCAUCUGCCUGAAACAAUCUUUCCCUGGUCAACCGCCUACCCACUGCCACCUUGGAGAACAGCUACUCAUAGUCACCCUCAGAUUAUAUCGUUUUCUCACCCAUCUCAUCCUCUUCCUUGCCGUUUCACCACCUCCCUUCAACCUUGGUGGGCUUUGCCCAUCUGUCUGCUUGACAGGACACCCCUAUUGUUACCUUUGACUGGACUAUUAGAUGACAUCUCAGUUACUUACCUUUUAUGUGCUAGAAUUAAUUUCCUAGCUGGAGUUGUCCCCAUGACCUGAAGCUGAGUGCCUGCUCUACCAUGCAAGAAGCUCUAUUGCCGAGGCCUAGGCCUGUUUUGGGGGCUUCUCUAGCCAAUGUCAAUGUCCCAUUCCUAGUUGCAUUCUGAAAUAUAACAUCUGAGUUCACAGUAUUGUCUUAAGCUAUAAUCACUAGAGAGAGCUCUAUUGGUGUUGUGGAUGCCUUGCACCAUGCCUAUUACUUUGGAGAAGCACAGUAAAUAAGUGAUGGUUCCCUAGGAUGACUGCAUAGACACAGGAAUGUUUGUUUUGGCUUAAUGAUAACACUAAUGAUGUUGCCAGUUGUAAAGGAAGGAACACUGCUCUUUCUUCAUGCCACCUGUGAGUAUAUACCUCUAUCUAUCUCUCAAAAGGGAGAUAACUUGUUAAUCUGAUGAUGGAACAGAGUUCCAGACAAUUACUGGGAGGUGGGGCAAUGUGCCUUGAAGGGUGCCAUCUUUGGUUCCACCACUCCUCUCUUGUUUACAUUUUAUUCUGUAUGCAUUUCUUUCUCUUUCAUGCUGAGUCCAAGAAAUUGGAUGAUAGCAUGCUGGGUGGCCCUGAAAGUUCAUCCAUCUCUUUAUAGCUCUCUGAAAGCACAUCUGAGCUUGAUAAUCCCUAGAUUUAGGUUUGGCAGGGAGGUAAUAAGUCCUGCUAAGGUCUCAAGCAGAAUCGACUUGUUCUAAUUCACCAUUUAUUUAUUUAUUAUCAGUUUUUUUUUUUUUUUUUUUUUUUUUUUGCAGAGAUGGGGUCUUGCUGUGUUAUCCAGGCUGGCCUCAAACUCCUGGCCUUAAGUAAUUCUCCCUCCUCAGCCUCUCAAAGUACUGGGAUUAGAAGUGUGAGCCAUUGCACCGGGCCAUAACUCAGUGUUUUGUUUUGUUUUUGUUUUAGUUUUCUUUUGAGACAGAGUCUCUCUCUUGUCACCCAGGCUGGAGUGCAAAGGCGUGAUCUUGGCUCACUGCAACCUCCGACCCCCAGGUUCAAUCAAUUCUCCUCCCUCAGCCUCCCUAGUAGCUGGGAUUACAGGUGCCCGCCACCAUACCUGGCUUAUUUUUGUGUUUAUAGAGUUGGUGGCCAGGCUGGUCUUGAACUCCUGACCCCAGGUGAUCCACCCACCUUGUUCUCCCAAAGUGAUGGGAUUACAGUUGUGAGCCACUGCGCCCGGCCAACUCAGUAUUUUUAAUGGAGCUCUUUUCAAAACAUCAGGCAUUUGAGAGCAAUUAAUAAAAUGAUUUUUUAUUCUCAUAUUGCUGUUGCACCUUGCAUAUAUCUUCCUGGAAUCUUACUGUAGGAAACAAAUGUGAUGACAGGGCAGGAUUUGUCAUUCCUUGGUCUUUGAUCAUAUGACCACAGAUAGAGUUGAAUGCAACCAUGCUCUUCUUUCCAAUAAUCAUGGUGACAUAAGAACUCAUGCAGUUAUGGUUCGCAGCACUGACUGGCUGCUGCUGCUGCUUCUGAAGGAGAAGGAAUAGAGAAGGAAAGAGGGAAAGAUAUUGUGAGCUGCCAAAGGUGAGGUCCUUGUAAUUAGAAUGUGGUUCAUUACUGAAUGCCGGAUACUGGUUUGGUAGGUUACCUGCAGGAAUAUUUUUUGUGAUCCAAAGAUGGUCCAAUUUCGCCCAAGAGAGGACCAACUUAUUUUAAGUGACUCAAAGCUAGAUGACAAAUGGAGAGAUGCAAGUUAAAAGACAGGCCUAGGCCAGGCACGGUGGCUCACGCCUGUAAUCCCAGCACUUUGGGAGGCCAAGGUGGGUGGAUCACCAGGUCAAGACACAGAGACCAUCCUGGCCAACAUGGUGAAACCCUGUCUCUAGUAAAAAUACAAAAAUUAGCCGGGCGUGGUGGCGUGCACCUGUAGUCCCAGCUACUCAGGAGGCUGAGGCAGGAGAAUCGCUUGAACCUGGCAAUCGGAGGUUGCAGUGAGCCAACAUUGUGCCUUUGCACUCCAGCCUAGUGACAGAGCGAGACUGUCUCAAAAAUAAUAAUGAUAAUAAAAUAAAAUAAAAUAAAAUAAAAUAAAAUAAAAGACUGGCCUAAAGCUGAAUUUUCCCCAUCAUUUGGGUGGGCGAUAGUCUUCACCAACCAUUUCUGUUGGCCAUGAGCCUCUCCAUUGUCCCCUGCAUCAAAAACAAACUCCAUAUAAAACCUCAGCAGUAUUAAUGGAAUGAACACCACUGUGUUUGGUGGGCUGUCAAUGAGGUGAUGAUGUCUGGCUCUUAUUAAGCAUCCUAAGUCAAUUACUGAUUGGCAGAAAUAGAAGCACAGCAUUAUUUAGUUAUGAUCAGUGACGAUACAACCGAACGACCUUCACACCCCCUGGAGGGCCACAGUGCUGACAGGCCUGUGGGUGUCUGCAUCCUCUGAGCUGCCUGCGGGGAGCUGCUGAUGUCUCCGAGGAGAGGCGGUGGAUGUGGGCUAACGAGGACGUGCUGUUCCACACAGGGCACCCAUAAAGUGCUGCCAGGUCUCUCAUUAGGGACUCCUCAGCCCGGCCCUUUCUGGCAGGCAGCCAGUGUUCUCAUCCACAAAGGAAGAAGGUGAGGCAGACAGAAAACAAAGUCCAGAGUGACCUUGGGACAAAAUCAGGGUUGGGACUCAGUGUUCCCAAGGCCUGUGCCUGGCCCGUUCUGACGCUUGGCAGCUGUUUACCUGAGUGGGUGGCAUGUUCUCCGCCCUCACUUGAAUCACUCUUCCCAGUAAUAGCCUCUGGCCCAAGUAACUCAGAAAAGUAAUUGGUAUGGCUUUGGUCCUGAUGCUGGACUUGUUAAGAUGGUAAGAGGAGAUAUUUGUGUUUAUAACUAACUUAGCAUGAUUUAGUAAGGCAGACCACUUGGGCCAUGUUAUCUAUAUUUCUGUAUAAUAUUUUAUCUUUUGCCUGCCUGAGGAUUAUGGGACAGGCCAAGAAAAUGGAUAUAGCAAUAAAAGAUCCAUACCCAGGAUCUGAAGAGGCAGAUAGAAUCUGAUCAUUGGGGGUACUUAGCAACAUGCAGCUCUCGAGGAAGGAGGCCACCACCAUUUCUUAGAGAUACAGAUAUUUGGGUUCAUGGGCUGACCAGUCCUGUCUAUUCCCCUGGAAUGGAGUGACUAAGGGCAGGAGAGAGAGGGCUGGGGAGUGAGCAAGGGCACAUACCUAUAGAGAAUAGUAUCCUUUGGUCCAAGCUGCAUCCAUCUUCAGUUCCAGUGGAGAAACUGAGGCAGUUUAGUAGCUUUGCCAGGGCCAAAGAUGAUCAUAGCCUUUCUGUAUAUCCAGGUUCUCAGUAGGGGCUCUGGUUUGGUUUCAUUUCUGCCUCAUUUGUGGGGAAAUGGUGACAACAGACUCGGGGCUCAUCUAACUUUUCUUGAAGCUGCAAACAGGGCUGGAAUACCUCCUGCUGCUUCCUCUGCAUCCGCCAGGCUUGGUUCAACACCUAUCAGACCUUAGGGGAUUGUCCACAGGCUUACAUUAAUUACAGAGGACCGUUUCUUUCAUCUGAGCACGUCAAAGACUUCUACAAAGCUCAAGGAGUGUGAUGUUGUCUUGUGGAAUUUUUUUUUUAUUUUUCCAAGUCCUCUUGGAAAACACUUUUAAAAAGUUGACACCAGGAAAUUGUUCCUUGGGUGAUAUAUGACACACAGCAUUUUCCAACAUCCCCAAUCAUUCAUUAUAGAUUGGGCCACAGGCAGCGUGGGUUUGGCUUGGUCCCGGAAACUUGCUUCAAGCCUAUUGUCUAGUCAUUGUUGGGAUCAUCUGAGUCUGAGGAGCUACAGGCAGGCUCUAUGGGGAGGAUGUGGAGGGAGGGAGGUGAGAGAAGGUUUGUCAUGACUGCAUUCCAGCAAGAAAAUUAUUGUGGCCUGGAGGCAGCUCUCAUGUUUACCCUGGUAAAUGUUUGAAUUUUCUCUGUUGAUUUGUAAUUGAGACAAAUGGAUUGAGAUGUCUGUUCACAUUAUUUUUAAAAAGUGAUGGGCUCCCAUAUUGGCAGAGGCAUUGAGGCACUCAGCAGGGUCAACUGGGACAGUGCUUCUGAGCAAAGUCCUGCUAGCAGAGAUGAAUAAGGCUGAAGAAGCAAGUCCCUGGAGAGAAAGGAAGAGAUGAGAGAGACCCCCAAGUUGUGUGAUCACCUCCAGCACACUGGAGACUGAGCCGUUUCACAAGAUCAUUCAUUCUAGGAGAGACCUUGGGAGGAGAAGUCAUGAGGACAGUCAACCAGCUCUUUGAAGAAGUCCACAUGCUGAGAAACUGAGGCCUCCUGCCAACAGCCUUGUGAGUGAAUCAUCUUGGAGGUGGAUCCUCCAGCACCUGUAAAACCUUCAGAUGACCACAGAUCUGGCUGACAUUUUGACCUCAAUGUUAUGAAAAAUCUUGAGGCAGAAGCACCCAGCUAAGCCAAUCCUGUAUUCUUCACCUACAGAAACUAUGAGGUACUAACACAUGCUUAUUGUUUCAAACUGCCAAGUUUUAGAGUAAUUUCUUAUGCAACAAUAGAUAACUAAUAAAACAAUGUUAACAAUAACCUGAUGUACACCCAUGAAAUAUGAUAUCCAGACAAAAUUAGAAAGUGUUUAUGUAUGCACUGCAUUGUUAUGUUUCUUUAUAGAACAAAAAGAAUCCUAUGUUUUUCGGAUCCUUUUCUCAAGUCAGUGCCAGUGAUGCAGGGCCCAUGAGCCCGGAAAUUGGGGCUCAGCCUGGGAGGGUUCUUGGCUCCACCCGGGAAAGUAUUCAAGGGUGGACCAGUGGUGCCAGAUAGCAACUUUUAUUGAAGAGGCCGUGUAUGGCAGCAGCAGAGGCACUGGUCCUUGUGGAGCAGAGAUACUCCAUAGGCAGUGUGCCCAGAGUAGCAGCUCAGAGGCAGUUCUUCAGUCAUAUUUAUACCCACUUUUAAUUACAUGCAAAUUAAGAGGUGAGUUAUUCAGAAAUUUCUAGAAAAGGGGUGGUAACUUCCAGGUCAUUGACAUGGAAAGUGGGGGGUAACUUCUGCAUAUUGCCAUGGCAGUGGUAAACUGACAUGGCACUGGUGGGCAUGUCUUAUGGAAAGGUGCUUUUGCCUCUUCUUU
rnacentral:lncRNA from 10 species